GCUUUUCUAUCUUUCAAACUUUCCGAACCUUUUCAGUAAAAUAAUAUUUUUUGAAAGACAUCCAUUUCAUAUACCAAAUCAAAGAAAUAAAAUUCAAUAUUCAACUAAAUUUGUUAUGAUUUGAAUAACUUUUGAAACAAACAUUAGUUCAUUCAUACGGAACCCAAUUUUUUUCGUCUUCCCUCUGCUGUAUCGUACGUGGUAAAGAAAGAAUGAUGACGUCACAGUUAUCAAGGUUAAAAUAAUUAACGUGACUCAUAAUACAUAACAAGUUCCACCACGUGUGCAAAGCGGGACAACUCCCAAAACGUAAGCCCACUUUCCUCCGAUAACCGGAUUUAUUCUUCAUAGGAAUAAAUCUUAUUAAGAA
rnacentral:lncRNA from 1 species